AACGAACGCUGGCGGCAUGCCUAACACAUGCAAGUCGAACGAGACCUUCGGGUCUAGUGGCGCACGGGUGCGUAACGCGUGGGAACCUGCCCUUAGGUUCGGAAUAACUCCCCGAAAGGGGUGCUAAUACCGGAUAAUGUCUUCGGACCAAAGAUUUAUCGCCUUUGGAUGGGCCCGCGUUGGAUUAGCUAGUUGGUAGGGUAAAAGCCUACCAAGGCGACGAUCCAUAGCUGGUCUGAGAGGAUGAUCAGCCACACUGGGACUGAGACACGGCCCAGACUCCUACGGGAGGCAGCAGUGGGGAAUAUUGGACACUGGGCGAAAGCCUGAUCCAGCAAUGCCGCGUGAGUGAUGAAGGCCUUAGGGUUGUAAAGCUCUUUUACCCGGGAUGAUAAUGACAUUACCGGGAGAAUAAGCUCCGGCUAACUCCGUG
rnacentral:rRNA from 1 species